UAUUAAACGACGAUUCCGCUAAAGUUGGCUGAGAUAUUUUCUCCUCUCUCUAAAAAAACACGCGACACGUUCCUCGUUUUUCUAUGCCUCUGGGUUUCUCCUUCCCUUCCUUUUCUUCUACUUCUCCUCCAAUCAGCAGGUUUGCUUGGUCAAUGGUUUUUCUUGUUUUCUCUGAUGUCUGUGAGAGUUUAGAGGAAGACGGUUCAGGUUAUGGACCUUGCGGUGGGUUUUCUCUGGACUUCCAGGUGGAGAUGUGCAUAUAUCUUCGUGUUUUGUUUCUUGUUGAUUGUACUGAGUUUUUCAGUUCGAUGAUUAUAUAUUGUUUGUUUGUUAUGUGUUCUGGGAUUUUUUGUGCCUGUACCUGCAUUAACUAUACUCUGCGUCAAAUGAAAUUAGGUUAUGAUCAUAGAGGAGAAAUUGUAGAAUUCAUUUGAACUCAUAUUCUUAUUAUCAGUUUGUUUAUGGGAAGGCACACACUUGGUUGUAGCUCAUUAAAAGCAACCAAAGCUGAAGACAAGACUAACCACCAAAAAGGAAGCUAAAUGAUCCUCAUAUAUCUUGAACUUGGAUCAAAUUUUCAAUUUUAUCCAGUGCUUAAUUAAUUUAUAUCAAUUGCAUAUGGGUAAAAAUGAUGUCAAAUGGCGUGUUUAUAUUAACCAGUUGUUGAAUUGGCAUGCUAUAAUGGCUGGGUUAUCUCGUUAUGGUUUCACCACACAUUGACUAAGGCACAACUGUAACUUUCUGACCACUUGAAUUCUCUCUCUGUGAAUCUGUUGAAAUGUGGACAACUUUGGAUAGUCUUCAUGACAAUACUUUAAACCCUAUUUAGCAUGUUCAUCCAUAUUAGCAUACUAGUUCAAAGCUAAUAUUAGACUGGCAAUGAUACAUGCCAUAUGAUAUGAAAUAGUCCUGGAUGGAAUUUCUACAAACCAUCUUUUUGUGACAUGAGGAGUUCUAUUCCUACUUAUAUUUGUAGAAUUGGUUUUAUUUUAUUUUAUUUUUUCAUUUCUUACUAGUUUACUUUUGUUUCCUUAGUUUGUAGGCAUUCCUUAGGUAUUUUGUAUUUUCUGUCCAAGUUCAACUAUGGUUUCUAGGCCUUAUAGAUAUCAUCUUAUGUAUUAUGUAGAAGUGAGGUAGUCCAUUAUUAAUAAAAUUAAGAUCUUUCUAGGUUUCUUCUAGAUUCAAGGAUCUUAGUGCAUAGGCACAAUCUAGCCUUAUUUACAUAGUCCUGUCUUGCUCAAUUGGUAUUAGAUCAAAGUUUUGCUCGGCUUUUUAGUGACAUAUUGUGGGGUUCAAAGAAAAUUCUUCAUGGGGGUAGAUCUUAAGUGGAGAUUCUUUGUAAACUUUCUUGGAAUCAUGAAUAUGGUAACAUGGAAUCGGAGACUUUAUUCAUAGUUAAUCUAUUCGUAGAUACAUCUCUAGUUUUAGAAAUUGCAUAUCUUGAUGAUGACUUUUAUAGAAAUAUUUGAUCUUCAAAUUCUUGUUAGUUCUUUUUUUUAAAAAAAAAAACAAAAUUCAUAAGAUUUAUAGAGAUGACAACUACAGCAGUAGCAACAAAGGCUUAAACCCUAGAUAGAUGCGUCAACAAUGAAAUAAAUUUUAGUGAAUGAAUUUUAUUAUAUUAUUACAAGUAUAUGUAUAUACAAACACACAUAUAUGUUUGCUUUAAGUAAUAACCAAAGAAAUAUUACGAGGGGUUUAUUAAAAACUUAAGACUUGUGUUAAAAAAUCUACCUUAAGUUUUGAGGCAAUUUGCAGUGUGAAGAUAAUGGGUUAGAAGCCUUGUCAGUUGUCACAGGUCAAUUAAGACCAUGAAUGUGAAGCACUUUGAACUAAAACAAAUGGAAACAACUCAAGGAAGGACUAAUAGAGCAUAGAUAAAAAACAUAACAACCCUCCACGUAUCCAGGGUGUGUCCAAAGAGCCCAAAACACACUCCAACAUAUGUCCAAGGCUAGCCUGGGAGUUUCAAGCAACCUCAGUCUUGCAUCUGGCACACCCUAGGGCAUGCUUUAGAAAGUACUACAUGCCCUAGGGUGUGCUUGUCUCGGUUCAACUACAGAAGUUAGGUCUAACAUCCCAAAACAUGUGGAUUGCAUCUCCAAGUGGGUCCCCAACAAUCCUAACAUGAUCUGAUCUAUUUUGAAAAAGUUUCUACUACUUUUAGAGUUUUAUCCUCCAAAUUAGAUUUUAUUCUUUUUUAUUCAAUUAGGAUUAGUUAUUUAAGUUUCCUGUUUCAGAUCUUUCUAUUUGUAUGUUAGUUUCACUAAAGUUCCUAAAUAAUAGUGUUAUAUUCCCAAAAAGUUUAGAGAUUAUAACUCUGUUUAGAAUUUUAGUAUUUUAUUGCUUAAAAUUCCAGUAAAGAGGUUCUCUCAAUUUUCACUCUUAUGUAUGAGUGUGUUAUUCUUGUAAGCUUUAGCUGCGUAGGUGGUAUGGGAGCGGGUAAAAGCACCCCAAUCUAGAUGGCUAACCUUGAUGAAGAUGAUAGCAAUGGUUCCUGUGAUGGUAAUCAGAAAACAAGAGCCGUAAACCAAAGGGAUGAAACAUUGCAACGAUUACAUUGAUGUUUAGAACAAUAGAUGGAUCUUAGAUUCGAGCAUAUUAAGAGAUGCUUUGAAGAAAGCAUUGCUUGUCCCAUUGCUUUGGGAACUAAUACGAGCAAGAAUUAGAUUGAUAAUAAAAGACCAAGGGAUGGUGCAACUCGUGGUGACCCUAUUAAUUGGCCAAAUCCUGCAAGUAGAUAAUUGGCCAAAUCUUGCAAGUAGACACUUUGUCUACAAUGAGGAAAAUUGAUAUUCCUUGAUUGUAUGAGGAUAUCAACACAGAAGAAUCCUUAGAGUGGAUAGUGCAAUUGGAUGAAUUCUUGGAUCAUGUGCAUAUAGUAUAUGAAACAAAUUAAAUUGGUGGCAUGUCAUCUAAAGGAUAGUGCUUCUGUGUGGCGGGAGCAACUACAGUUGAGAAGAGCAAGAGAAGGAAAAGUUAUCUCCACAGAUGAUAUUAAAAUUGCGAAUCAGCUAGGAGGUAUCUUUAUGAAAGCUUUGAAUGGAUCUCAGGUUGACUAUAUCUGUAACAAGCUAGCAUGAUAAAUAUAUAUAUUCCAACUUUUGGGUGAAUGUUAAGGAAAGUCAACUUGUGUAAAUAUUCUCAAUUAAUAGUUAGCAUAGAUUUAGGGAUUUUAUAUUCUUAUUAGCAAGGACUAUGUGUGUAUAUUUGUAUCAAUUGCUCUUGAGUCUUGAAUCAACAAAGAAAAUUAUUUACAACAUUCAAUUUUCUUGCCUAAUCAUAUGGAAGUCCACUUGGAACUGGGGAAUGUGGUUGGAGUUGGACAUUGUAUUUUGAUAAAUAUCUCAAUAUCUUUGUAAAUGGUUGCUUA